ensembl:snoRNA
UAGUAAUAAUAAUAAUAAUAAUAAUUCUUAUGUGCUAUACAAAUAGUUGAAGGUUAAUUAGCAGAGUAACUUCAUAUAGUAAUUCUGCCAGUCUCCUUCAGACAAUA